GUUCCUGUGUCCUAAUGCUUAAGGUUUUGGACUCCGAAUCCAAAGAUUGCGGAUUCAAGUACCACCAGGAAUA
rnacentral:tRNA from 1 species